CCACUUUCAUAAUUAUUUGAACCAACUCCAUAAAAAGACAAUAUUAAUAAUAGCAAUUUAAUACUCCAUCCAUAAGUCAUUUCACACGUUGCACUAAGAACAAGGGACUGAUCCUGUACCGUGCUACUGCCUUGACCUAGGAUUCUUUUCCUCACAUCGGAUUCUGAACCGAAAAACGGAAGAUUUCAAGGAAGGAAAUUCUAAGACAUCACAUUCUGUGGCAAAGAGCCCAUUCGAUGGCAUCCGCGCCCGCUUGAAUUUCACUUUCACUCUUGGAUAGCUAUAGCUACGGGGCUUUUCUGGCUUGAAC
rnacentral:lncRNA from 1 species